rnacentral:ncRNA from 1 species
AAAAAGUUUUAUUUUAGCUUAAAAAUUAAGUAUUAUUUUUUAUUACAUGUAAAUUUUUUUAAAGAAUUAAUAGCAGUAUUUAAUAUUAUUAAUUUAAUAAAUUAAGAAUUAGAAAUAAUAUAUAAUAUAAACUAAAUUUGUGCCAGCAGUUGCGGUUAAACAAAUUAUGUAAAUUAAUUUUUAUUAAUUUUAAUUAAUUAGAGUUAAAUUUUAAAAUUAAAUUUAUUUGGUGAAAUUUUAAAUUUAAAAUAAAAUUUAAAUUUGAUAAUUAUAUUAAAAAAUUUUUAGUAUAAACUAGGAUUAGAUACCCUAUUAUUAAAAAGGUAAUUUAUUUGUUAAAUUAGUAUUAGUUAUGAUCUUGAAAAUUAAAAAUUUUGGCGGUGUUUUAAUCUAUUCAGAGGAACCUGUUUUUUAAAUGAUAAUCCACGAUUUUAUUUACUUUUAUUAUUAGUUUAUAUAUCGUCGUUAUUAAAAUAUUUUUUUAGAAUUAUAAUAUUUAAAAUUUUUAUAAAAAAGUAUUUCAGAUCAAGGUAUAGUUUAUAUAAAAGAAUAAAUGGGUUACAAUAAUUUUAUUUUAGGAUUUAUAUUUUUAAAGUAUUUUGAAUGUGGAUUUGAUAGUAAUUUUAAUUGAUUUAUUAAAAUGAUUUUAGUACUAAAACAUGUACAUAUUGCCCGUCGCUUUCGUUUAAUAUGAAAUAAGUCGUAACAAAGUAGAUUUACUGGAAAGUGAAUCUAGAAAACA